AGGAGGGUUUCAAUGCCAAUUCCCAACCAAUUCCUUACAUGCCUUCGUUUAAAAUUAUAAAUAUUUAAUAGGCUUUUAUGAUGAAUUAGGCUCAUUAAAUAGCCAAAAACAGCUGUUUCAUUAUCACACAGCAAAUGCAUGAUGAAAAGUAGCCGUGCAUAACCACAAUUCUUCUAUGAGUGUAAUAGAUUGACGUCUGAUAAUCUCAUGUGGCUAUAUGGUUCUCAUCCAAGUGUAAUACGGGGCGACAUCCCCAAAAAACAGGAGCCAUGUUGAUUUCAUGGGGCAUGUUGAGGUGCCGAGACAAUGAGGUCACAAUGGUUAACAGCCAGGUUACUAAAAAUAUAGCU
rnacentral:lncRNA from 1 species